AUCGCUUCUCGGCCUUUUGGCUAAGAUCAAGUGUAGUAUCUGUUCUUAUCAGAAAAUCAGGGAUAUUGGGGGAAGGAAACCAAAAAUCUAAAAUAUGGAGACAUAUUUUUGAAAAAAUAAAUAAUUAAAACCAAUAGCCUAAGUCAUCCAUU
ensembl:snRNA U2 U2 spliceosomal RNA